UGGGGAAUUUUGGGCAAUGGGCGAAAGCCUGACCCAGCAACGCCGCGUGAAGGAUGAAGUAUUUCGGUAUGUAAACUUCGAAAGAAUAGGAAGAAUAAAUGACGGUACUAUUUAUAAGGUCCGGCUAACUACGUGCCAGCAGCCGCGGUAAUACGUAGGGACCAAGCGUUGUUCGGAUUUACUGGGCGUAAAGGGCGCGUAGGCGGCAAUUCAAGUCAUCUGUGAAAUCUCCGGGCUUAACUCGGAACGGUCAGAUGAUACUGCUUUGCUAGAGUGCAGAAGGGGCAAUCGGAAUUCUUGGUGUAGCGGUGAAAUGCGUAGAUAUCAAGAGGAACACCUGAGGUGAAGACGGGUUGCUGGGCUGACACUGACGCUGAGGCGCGAAAGCCAGGGGAGCAAACGGGAUUAGAUACCCAAGUAGUCCCUGAGCGGGCUGGCAAGGCGCAU
rnacentral:rRNA from 1 species